CUGUGAUGAACUCAUUCAAAAUUUACUGAAAAAACCUAUAGAGCCGUAGUUAUAUGAAGAAAAGAAAAUGACAACAAUUUGCUUAUCGCUUCAUUCAAUUUCCCCCUCUUUUUGAUUGCUACUAUCAUCAUAGUAAAUGAUACAAAAUAGCAGAAUCAACUAGUUAUAACAGAAAACAACAUGAAGAUGAGUUCAUCACAGCUAGCAACCCCCCAACACGAAUUCAUUUACGAUGAGCCUCGACAUCUGAGGUUAAUCUUGGUGGCUUGCUUUUCUUUUGCUGAUAUUUGGCAUAUGAAUACCACAAUCCACCAGCUGUGUUGAUGACCAAUCCAGUCACAUUCAAAGCAUGUACUUGUACACCACCCAGUAACACAAAACCAAGGGUCGUGGACCCAACACCUUUGAGGACUCCCACUAUGGUUGUUGUUAGAGCAGAAUUGACUAUAGUACACAAGAACAUGGUGUAGUUGAGAACUAUUCCCAUCACCAAUGAAAGAAUAAGAAUCAACAAAAAUGAUAAAGAAUUGCUCUUUGCAAAUAGCAACGACAAAGAGUUUGGAAAUUCUCCUGUAGCUAUGAUCAGAAACAUCAAAAAUGGAAGAGACAAAAAGCUGUUAUAGAACAUUAUCUCAUCUGAAGAAAGCCCAUCCUCUGCACCAGACCUCUCAACAAGGACAAGGUACAUCGUCUGGAAAAAAACAGAAGUAAGGGCCAAGCUGUAUCCAAAUAGGUCAAAGGAAAAAUCUCCAAAUGCUGCUAUAAGAACCCCAGCAGCAGUCAAUAGUACAGAAAGUGCCACCUGCGCUGUAGGUUUUCCCUUUCCUGAAGAGAAGCCAGCAAUAAGUACAGCCAGUGGUGUAAGCCUCUUAAUUGCAAUAUACAUAGGAAUGUUAACUCCUUUCAAGCUUGCCAAAGCAAAUGCCACAUUAGCAUUGUAAAAUAGUGACACUGGAAGAAGCCUUUUUGAUGUUUGCAUGUCUAAUGCUCUGGCUUUUGUGUAUCCCAUUUGCCGGCCAAAGUGUAUUAGCAAAGCAGUCGCCAAUUGCUGCAGAGUGAGAAGGGUCAUUGAGUGAGAAUACUGCAUGAGAAUUGCCUUAUUGAUAAAGACCAUAGCCAUCGAAGCAAUCCCAUAUGACAAGGCCGCAAACAAACUCCAAAAAGGACUAGUUUCUGUAUCGCUGCGAUUGUCCAUGGUCAAUAAUAGAUGUCAAUUUCGAUAAAAGAACUCUAACUCAACUCAACACUAUCUGUCUCCCAAUGGAACAAUCUCACUCUUGCAGCCACUCGAUCCAGUCACAUAAUCAAAUUAAAGGAAAUUCCAAUUAAUUUCAGAAAAUACACACUAAAAACCCUGAAACACUGAUUGGCAAUUUUUAUUACAUUGCAAAGUAAAAGAUUUCCCCUUUUUCUUCUGAAAAUAGGAUUUCUUGGAUCAAGCGA
rnacentral:misc_RNA from 1 species